rnacentral:lncRNA from 1 species
UUCGUUCACGACGUCGAUAUUCCCGGGAGAAGUUCCUUCUUCAAAGAGGAAGGGACACUUCAUUUCCUUCGGGGGGCACACGAAGGAAGACAUCGUCAAAAUAUUUUCCCCCAGAGUUGACACGGUAUACUCAAUGCCCCGCCGCCAAGAGCACUUCAACGUCACCUCCUCCAGCUCCAGCUCUCCCCGGCGGUCCGUGAACGCCCCCUGCCGACGUGCGCCCGACGACAAGCGCUGUGAUCGUCGCAGUGAUGUUAGCUAACUGCUGCUGUCACUAAAAGAUGUUCUCCCUCCGGGUUCUUCCUCCCUCUCGCUCUUUCCUCUAAGGCAAACGAUCCUAAUCUCGCGGAUGUUCACAUUCAGCUGCUGACCUCUGACCCCUCUUCAAAGUUUUCUGUCGCGAGGAUCCGGUCAACACGCAGAUGGGCUCAGAGGGCAGGGGCAGUGGAGGUCGUUAUCCCUGCAGGUCGCAGGUUUCUUGAUUUAUGCGAAAGCACUGGCCUACACUACACCUCGAGCCUGACUCCUGAUCUGAUUCCAGAGGAUGUCUGACCAUCACACCCAGCACGUGCCCCACUGACAUUGCCAAAUAUCACAAUGGCGGUCCACAUCAAGAUUCGUUCAUCGUUGUACACUGUGAAGUGAUCUGCACGUCCACACCUACACAGCAGCCGUCCUGCAGUUUCCUCCAGUGCUCCGCAGGUUGAGGUAGUAGGUUGUAUAGUUCAGAGUGACACCACAGGAGAUAACUGUACAGCCUCCUAGCUUUCCCUGAGGAGACACUGAUGCACCAAACACCAACUUUUGUACUUUAUUGGGAUUAGGUUAAUAAUUUAGUCGUAAUUACACUGUCUGUAUAUCAGGGGGGUUUGUAUAUGGCCUUUAAAUAUUGAUUUCUUUCUCUCUCUUUUUUCCAAGCAGUUUUUCCAUUUUUUUUUCAAGAGAGUGUCAUAAAAAAUGCACUGCACAAACUAGCAUGAACUUGGCAAACAAAAAAAAUGGCUUUCUG